rnacentral:rRNA from 1 species
UUGAACGCUGGCGGAAUGCUUUACACAUGCAAGUCGAACGGUAGAGGGGGGCAACCCCUUGAGAGUGGCGAACGGGUGAGUAAUAUAUCGGAACGUGCCCAGUCGUGGGGGAUAACGUAGCGAAAGUUACGCUAAUACCGCAUACGAUCUAAGGAUGAAANCGGGGGACUCGCAAGAGCCUCGCGCGAUUGGAGCGGCCGAUAUCAGAUUAAGUAGUUGGUGGGGGUAAAGGCUCACCAAGCCAACGAUCUGUAGCUGGUCUGAGAGGACGACCAGCCACACUGGAACUGAGACACGGUCCAGACUCCUACGGGAGGCAGCAGUGGGGAAUUUUGGACAAUGGACGCAAGUCUGAUCCAGCCAUUCCGCGUGCAGGAUGAAGGCCCUCGGGUUGUAAACUGCUUUUGUACGGAACGAAAAGGUUUCUAUUAAUACUAGGAGCUCAUGACGGUACCGUAAGAAUAAGCACCGGCUAACUACGUG